rnacentral:rRNA from 1 species
AUUGAACGCUGGCGGCAGGCCUAACACAUGCAAGUCGAGCGAGCGGCGGACGGGUGAGUAAUGUAUGGGAAACUGCCUGAUGGAGGGGGAUAACUACUGGAAACGGUAGCUAAUACCGCAUACCAUCGGAUGUGCCCAGAUGGGAUUAGCUAGUAGGUGGGGUAAAGGCUCACCUAGGCGACGAUCACUAGCUGGUCUGAGAGGAUGAACAGCCACACUGGAACUGAGACACGGUCCAGACUCCUACGGGAGGCAGCAGUGGGGAAUAUUGCACAAUGGGCGCAAGCCUGAUGCAGCCAUGCCGCGUGUGUGAAGAAGGCCUUCGGGUUGUAAAGCACUUUCAGCGGGGAGGCGUUACCCGCAGAAGAAGCACCGGCUAACUCCGUGCCAGCCGCCGCGGUAAUUC